UUCGACAGGGGCGAAUCCGCGGCGAAGGUCACGACCGCCGUGCCCUGGUCGGUCGCCCGGUUGAUAGGCUCGAUGAACGGAUCCGAGUUCAUCGGGUGAACCAGAAU
rnacentral:sRNA from 1 species